UACAGAGGAUGCAAGCGUUAUCCGGAAUGAUUGGGCGUAAAGCGUCUGUAGGUGGCUUUUUAAGUCCGCCGUCAAAUCCCAGGGCUCAACUCUGGACAGGCGGUGGAAACUACCAAGCUGGAGUACGGUAGGGGCAGAGGGAAUUUCCGGUGGAGCGGUGAAAUGCGGCAGAGAUCGGAAAGAACACCAACGGCGAAAGCAACUCUGCUGGGCCGACACUGACACUGAGAGACGAAAGCUAGGGGAGCGAAUGGG
rnacentral:rRNA from 1 species